rnacentral:tRNA from 2 species
GGCCCCAUCGUCUAGUGGCCUAGGACGUCGCCCUUUCACGGCGAAAACACGGGUUCGAGUCCCGUUGGGGUCACCA